AAGGUGGAAGCAUUGGAUCCCAUAUAAAGAACUCCAAAAUGCAAGAGGCAGGUAUUUUUCCUCGACUGGAUCAGUAUCAGGAAGGGGGACCUCCUGAGAAGCUCCAUCAAGUGAGCCUCAAUCACGCCUU
rnacentral:rRNA from 1 species